AGACAUAUUUGGAAGGCUUCUGGUUUAGAAAAACUACAUUUUAAAUGCAGGUGAUGCAAUAUUAAUCGUGCUUUGCUGAUAUAAAAUGCAAUAUUUUCAGACAGCUAGUGGGGUUUCAGCGAGCCGUCAGAUGAAAGCAGAAGUCUCGGCAGCAGUAGGCUGGACCAGAGAAAGCGGCGCAUUUAUUACUUUUGUUUGGCUUUUGGCUACGAGAGAGAAGAACAUUUAAAACAUCCCUAUCCCUACAGUCCGUUGUAUACUGUUCCACAAAACACUUCAAGCGACGACUACUACAAGCGCCAUGCAAGCCUGCCUGCCUGCACGCAAAUGCAAUAUUUCAGCCCGACGAACUGCUCCCUUGCAGAUUGAAGAGUAAUGCAUUAUUGAAAGGCCAUAUCAAACACCUCUGGGGGGCUGUCUUUCUUUCUUCCUGCUCUGCACUGCUCAGACCGGUCAGGCAGGCCCGGGCUCGAGAUGAAGUCCCGUUGUCUGACGGUACUAAAGCUCCUAAUAUGUUAAUGGCCGGAGGGGAUGCCUGAGGUAACCGGGCUGCUUGCUGCUACCGGCCCCAGCUGCCGCGUGUUCCAUAUGUCAGCCGAUUGGACACGUGGAUAUCUAUUAAUCAAGACAUGUUUCAUCAUCAUCAGCAACAACAACAACAAAAACAACAACAACAACAGCUGAUUAAACAAUAUACCACCAUCUAAGUUAAAACCAGAAUAACAUCUAUAGUAAUAGUGCAACGAUUUAAAUGUAAUCUGUGUUUACAUUUCUCUGUUUUUCCACUCCGACUUUUGUUUGGAGGGAAGUCGGUGAAUCAGUCUGGAUAUUCUCUAUGAUUGAAAAACCAAAUAUUGCAUGUCCGCUAACAUCAGUCUUUCUGUCAGUGGGUCUGUAGUCUUGCGUUGUUAAAGAGAACUCAACCCGUGGCAGAUGUGAUUAUGCAGCAUGCGAACGUACAUGUCCUCUAGGCUCCAAAGCGAAUGGAGAAGCCUUUGAGAAACAGCCACUUUCACUUCUUAAUAGCUGGGUUGACCUCGUGUAGAAAAAACAACAAAAACACAAAAAUAAGAGGAAAAUGUCAACGAAGCAAUCCGAAAAAGAAUACCCUACAUAUACUGGGGAAAUAAAUUAGUAGCUUAUAGGCAAUCUCUAACCCCGGUCACUUCAAAAACGAUUGUAAUCACAUUCGAUUUUAGUUUGUAUAUUUAAAAUACUAAUUUUGCAUUUAUUUUAUUAGGGCUAUAGGUAUUGAGUAAUCAUUUGAGUAAUCAACACAUCUUUUAAAAGUUAGAAGUCAGUAUUAAAGCAUAAAUGUGUUUUAAUGGUGCAAUGCCUUUCACUCUCCCCUUCCUUCGCCGAACCUCGGAGUCAGUUGCAUAGAAAGCUCUAUAAUGCGUCUUGAGUUACCAUGGAUCUCAUAAGUUAAUUCCUUUAGGCUAUACUAUCGCGAGAGUAAUUAAUCUAGCCCGUGGAUGUAAAUAAAGUGAAAUUGGAUUCCUGACAGACCAGAUGAGGAAGGCCUCUGACACCACGCGACACACAAAAUGAUGUUUCCUCCACAUCACGCACGCGCUUUAUAUGCAAACGCGGUGCGGGCGCUUUAGAUUUACGAUCGCAUGACUUUUAAGUACAAAAGCUGAGAGCGAAGGGGAACGCAGAACGUAGCCUAAUAGCUGCCGUUACGAUCCCAAGUUAAGACGGAUUAGAUCAUGGUAAUUAUUGUUCCCGCUACUAAAAUGAAAAUAAAUGCAUAAACAGCAUCCAGGCAGAUUAGGAACAUUUGGAACUGUGGGAUUUAAUAUCCUAUUUAGGACUGAGGAUCGCCGUAAGAUCCCCAUUAGCUACUGCCAGAAACAGUAGCUACUCUUCCUGGGGUCCACAUCACGUGUUUGAGUUCUCAUGUAGUAUGAUGAGAUGAUUGUAAUCUUAUUUCCUUUUGAAUAAAACGCUUUUAUAGAGCCUAUUUAGGACCCUUCAAAAGUUUGGCUGUAAUCGAUCUGGGCCUAAACACAUUUUAUGUAUCUUCCAAUUUGACCUGCAAAACAUGGUGAUUUAAAAAAAAAAAAUCUUAUUCGCAUUAAUCUAUUAUUUCCUACAGCAGAAUGGGCUGAAUCACCAAUUCACGGCCUCUAAAUUAUAACAUUGACCGUGAGAUGGCCUCCGGACAGGAAAGUCAAGCGGGGGAUUGAGGCGUAUAUCCCCCAGUUCUGUAUUCAUUUCCCGCUUGUAUUUGCUCGGUAAUCCACCUCGGCAGGCCUUCACGGUGAAGCUGCUAUAAGUGGCGUCGUUGUUGACACAGCGGCGCAUUUCAAUCACAGCGGGUUCACAGUCAGACGAACAACUUAUUUGUCUAAUAAAUCCGUCAUUUAGGUAGAAAAAUAUUUGAUCUGUUGGGUCUGACCUCGUCGCCAUUUACUGCAAUCCGAGGCCGGGUAGUGUGGGAUGUAUGAAAGGGCCUCCAUGGAAGACAGCAGAUGAGGAGCACGAGUUCGACCGCGGACCAGACAGACGUGUGAAGCUCAAUGACAUAUUGCCUGAGUCCGCACACUUAUUUUCUUGAGAAAACGAAUGAAAACGCACAUGUACACGCGCGCGCAAACCCCACCAAAGAGAAUCGCUGGGUUUCCAUUAAAUUUGACCACGAAAUGUCAUUCUCACUGACAGACACAAUUCCAGUCGCCCUACUUCAGGCUUUUUCUUAUUCCUUAUAAUAUACAGAUUCCAGCAGCAUUGAAUUAACAUAACAUAUAGGCUGAGGUGAGUAACGGCAGAGAUGUUGUUUCUAUUGCUUUUUGACAUUAUUAUUCAUACUUAUUAUUCUUGGUAUCCUAUAACUUAAAAUCCAUGUUUUUAAUUUUCCGGUCAACCAGCGUCGUUUUUUCCGCUAAAAACCCCAAAUGAUAUUCUUGGGUCACUGGAAGGCCUUAUCUUGGUAAGUUCUAUGUAUGUCUCGCAGCGGGCCAGUAGAAAUGUCAUGGCUUUACCCCAGCCUAUCUCUUUAGCGCUGUGAUAGCUUUAGGCGCUGCUCUUAUUGACCCCGGCUUUGAAUACAUUUGCUCCUCAUCAUUACCCCCACGUGCAGCCUUCUGCUGGUGACGUGUUUCUGCUCUACUGAUAAUGGGUUCGUGCACAGCAUGUAGGGCUAAUUGGCUUGUUAGGAGAAAUUUUCGACAUAUGAUAUUCUAAAUGAAUGGCAAGGCGCUAAGAAGUUCCAAUAACCUAGGUAGAUGUCAUUGCAUUCAAGGUCCAACCGAAAUGUUACUUACGCUUUUAGGGCAAAGCUACAGAUUAUUUCAAUUUAACAUGGGUAACAUGGCUGAACAACCGCUAAGCUGAACAUGUAAAUGCUUUCUGUCGUUUGAUUAAUCGGACUAUCACGCCUUCAACACAAAACUCCAUAUGCUGAAAGGUGCGGCUUUUUACACGAUGCACCUCAAUCCACUGUUCAUAGUGAUUGAAUUGCAUCGCUGUAAUUUACUGUAUCUUAAGACUGCUAACUCAAUGACGUUUCUGAAAUAGAUUUAAAAUGAUGCGGAAAUAUAUAGGCUACCACUUUACACUAGUUAUGUACCACUGCUCAUGAUGAUGAAACAUAUACCACUUUACACGUGUUCUAUACCAGUGUCCAUAAUGCUGAAAUGUAUAUCAUUUGUGUACACGUGUGUCUGUACCACUCUCCAUGGUGCUGAAAUAUACACCAAUUUACAUGUGUUCUGUACCAGUGUCCAUGAUGGAGAAAUAUAUACCACUUUACAUGUGUUCUGUUCUACUGUCCAUUUAUGCUGAAAUAUAUACCACUUUACGUGUUCUGUUCUACUGUCUAUUUAUGCUGAAAUAUACACCACUUUACAUGUGUUUUGUACCACUGUCUGUGACGGUGAAAAAUAUAAAAUUUUAGAGUGUUCUGUAUCACUGUCACUGAUGGUGUAAUAUACACUACUUUACACAUGUUCCGUACCACUGUCCUUGGUGCUGAAAAAUAUACCACUUUACAUGUGUUCUGUACCACUGUCCAUGGUGCUGAAAUAUAUAUCACUUUACAUGUG